AACCGGGAAAGGGAAUAACAUUUGAAAUGUAAAUAAUAAAUAUCCAAUUUAAUAAAGAUGGGAACAAAGAUUGAAUGUGGGAAAAUCAGAACUAAAAUUUCUAUCAUAGCAGUGCCUAGUAAUGUUUUGCUUCUUUAAACGUGCAAUCUUUUAAGUUAGCAAACUCUAAUAGCACCUUUGAUGGGUAAUAUUGCGUAUUUUAACUGCCCAAUUAAUUGUCUUGUUGUUGGGAGUAGAACCACAAUUAACAUGGAUGUGCAGGUAUCUCCUUGUCAGGGUGUAGAUCACAUCCUUUGAGUCCAUUCUCAGAAACGGUAUCCCCGAGCCUGUGGCACUUCUGAUUUUAGGAACUUCUGUCGUUGUAAAAAUACAAAGAUAAAAAGAGUUUCAGUGUCUUUUAUCCCGCUUGGUCCAUACCGCGAUGCCCCACGACAUAUGCUAGAUAUCUUGGCAGAAACACAUCCCAUCUCCUCGGCCACCAAGUGUCUUUUGAUGUCACACACUUUCCUUCACUCAAACUGUCACCUAAAUACAACAACCUUUGACCGAAUGGUAACAUAUAAUUGCCCACUUAUACAUACAAAGCCCGGUACCAUCCAUCCCUUGAGAACAUUAAUAAGAACCUGUAAAUCCACAGAGUGAGGUCUUCACAUCAGCAUCCAUCGUCCUACCACCACUUGUUUCUCUCUCUCCCUUCUGCCUCUUCCUUUCUGUUCUCGUCUCCUCCUCUUCCUCCAAACUUCUCUGCAGCCCAUCUUUCCUUCUCCUCCAAUGACAGGCCUCCUUCUAUCCAGUACCUGCCCUUCACAUGUACUUUGCAAAUACAAUGGGGAGAAGGUGUGGUGAAGUCACCUGAUUCCUGAGUGUGUGACUAGGCAACUGUCCUUGGGGCAGUGGAAUUAGCAUCAAAAUACAGAUAACUCAGGGCAAACCACAACAAACUUCUACACUGAUUUCUCUCACUAGUAUUGUGUGAGGUUCAAUUUGUAUUUUGGUCAAGUUUCCUUUACAACAGUGGGUGAGCACAUGGGCACCCACACCUGUAAGAGGUGCUGUGUGCCUGUACUGUGUUUGGAGAUGGUGUAAGUGAGCAGCAGUAGCUCUCUCUUAGUACAAAAGCAAAAUAACUGAGAUGGUGCAUAGAGAGUGUAGACUCUGUAUCCGUCACAGGUAUGAAGAGUACGCACAUACUUUGUAAGGCACCAUCUUCCCUGAACACAGAAGCAUGUGAUGUCAUCCAGUGGUAGAUGGUACAGUCUGACCUUGAGCAUGCUCAGCUAAGGAGGGCCUUGUCAUCCUGAGUUUUCUCAGCUUAAGGCCGUGGCACCGAAGCACAGAGAUUUCUGGUAUGGGGCAGAUGUUGAGAGUUGUUCAGAGCAGGAAAAGCACCCCCUCUGUAACCUCACAACCCCAAUAGGCCGCAGAUUCAAAUGAUAAAAGAAGAGCACUGAUACCUCAAGUUGUCUCAACAGUCACACUUGUGCCCACAAAUUACAGUAAACAGACAGACAGACACACACACACACAGUCACACACACUCACACACACACAUUUGAAACCUAUUCUCUGCUCUGACAGAAGUCAGUCUGAGACUGGAGACUGUGAUGGUCUGGAGAUGUGGCACUCAGGGCCCCUGGCUAAGAGUUAGACCUGUUAGAUGGUCUUUCUUCAGAGUUUGGAGGCUCCACUCUCCCUGGGAAGGAGUUGUAUAUAUGGAUCUUGCUUGGUAACCAAAACAUGAGCAACAAACCUACCCAAUGCUGAAUUGGAUUACCUGUGUGAACCCAGGCUUAUAAGCAGGUCUCAGAGAAUCCUGGGUACAUAGUGACAGUCCCUGAUUCUUCAACAGUGCAUACACAUUACCUCUACUGUGAGGCUAGGCCUAAGGGUCAUACAGGAAGAGACAGCAGCCUGAAGUGACUCCAGGUGCCUCCAAGAACAGGAAUGAAAUGUUUAUGCACUUUCCUUGUUAUUGUCAUUGCAUCUUGGAUAUUGAAAUAUGUGAUGUGUGUGAUUUUUGGGGGUACGUGAGUAUGAAUGUUCCUAUGUGACUGUCUGAGUGUCUUUGUGGCUGUGUGUGUGUGACUGUGUGUGUGUGUGUGUGUGUGUGUGUGUGUCUGUGUCUGUGUCUGUGUCUGUGUCUGUGUCUGUGUCUGUGCAUGAGUGUGCGUGUGUUGAGCAUUUUGCUAAUAUCUAAUACUCUUCUUAGAGAACAUUGUAUCUGCCAUCUUCAGUGACCCUGGUGUUAAGGUGUUGUGGCCUGCUCUUUCCAUAAAGUUUUGUUUUAAUUUUGUCCUCUUAUUCCUCCUCUUCUUUCUCCUCCUGUUCCCUCCUCCUAUUCCUCCUUGUCUUCUUAUUCUUUUCUUCUUCCUUCUCCUGGAGAUCUAAGCACUAAGCAGUGCUCUUCCACAAGCCAUAGACCCCUAUUUAGAUAUAAAAUUAAAAUUGAAUGUGAAGUAUAGAAGCCAGUGCUAUAUUUCCAGUUAGAAAUGUGACCAACUUAUCACUGUGUUUAUUAAAUUUGCAGGGUUUUCACAAGCUCAUUUUAAAUGAUAACCAUUGCUUGAUGAUAUACUUUUAAUAAUCAUAUAAGUAUAUUUAAUGGAUAUUGUAUGCAUGGUGUUGAGUCUACCCACAGCCCUCACCAUAUGGAGGCUCCACUUUAUGGGUCCCUAUCCUCCCAGUGCUCUCUCUUAGACUUUGAAAAAUCUAGGCUGACAUGCCAUGGGUGACAGGCAGGAGCUGUGCCACUUAGUCAUCCUCUAUAGCUCAGAUAAGAGUGCUUAGUCAUCGUCAGUGUUUUUAUAUGCUGGAACAAGGACAUUUAUUCAAAGACAGGGCUUCAUGUGUAUGGAAAGAUGACCAUAAAGUAUGGGAAGAUGACCUUGAAAACUUGGACGUCGGAUCCUCCUGUCUCCUCUGGGAGCUGGGAUCACAGGCUUGUGCCACAAGCAUGGCAUGUGUGGUGCACAGAAUGGAAUACAGUGGCUCCAAACUCUCGCUUCAUCCUGUUGAGGACUGUCAAAGCUUAGCUUUUUAUCAUUAAUCACCUGCCUGCUGAGGUCCUCAUCUCUGGAACAAUUGAAAAACUCACAUUUAUUGGCCAGUGGUAGCUGUUGUUAAUAGCUCUUGCCAGUCCUGAAUAUCUGACCACAUGAGAGGUGAAGGCAGGAUGAUCAGGAGUUCAAGGCCAGCUUCAGCCAUAUAGCAAAAUAGAGGCAAGCUUGGUCUCUAUUAAAUCCUCUUGAACAAAACCAUAUAGAUACCAAGGUGUAACCACUCUGAAAAUCAGUAUGGAGAACUCUCCGGAAGCAGAGAACACAGGCAGAUGUGACAAAGCCAUACCACCCACUGAUUUACUCCCAAAAGAAUGGGCAUCCUAUUUCCCUGAGUCUUUCCCUGGCAAGUGCAUUGUGCCCUCCCCCCUCUCUAGUGGAAUCACCCCAGAAAACAGGGAAGUACAAAGGGUGUUGGAGGUGGAGGGAAGUGGAGGUGGGAUAGUAAGAUACAGUUGCCUAAAACAGGAAACAGCAAGAAAUAUGAAAGGGAUUGUGACAGUCUCUGGGGAUGAGGGAGGGAGAGAAACACUGAGAGAGAAUGGCAUCAAGGAUGAUAGGAAAAGCCAGCGGAACAUUAUUUUCUGUUUAUGUAAAGAUACAUAAAGGACUAUGGGGACACACAGACAGCACCCAUCCCUGCACACUGCACACACAUUCUGAACACUCCCAGAUUUCAUGGUCCUUAUUGCUGUUCAGUGUGCAGGAUUCAGGCCAUGUGCUCCUACUAGCAUCCCGCAUCCACGUUGUCCAAAACAACAGAAUCCGAGUUUUGCAGCAAACUCCCUCUGCAUGAGGUUUCAGUAUAUAAGGGUGAAGAUGAAUUUUGUGUGCUUGAGAGCAAAGCAAUCCCUUUUGCCAGAGCAAUGGAGAACCACAGACAGAGGCAGCAGCUUGUCUGCCCAAUGAGUGAGCAUUGGCAUUAGUGACAUCAAUUCUCCUUCCAGCACUCGCUGUCCUUACCUUGAGCAUCCUCCAGGAUAUACAGUGCACUGCAGUUGCAGAGGUGUUGAGGGGAAUUGUGGGACUGCUUGUCACCCAGAUAAGUUGAAGACUUCUCUUGUGCACAGGCAAGUAAUCCUGGUUGACACCACACUUCUCUGAAUCCUGGUGUGGCUCCAUGACAGUGCGUGGCCCUCUUGAUUUCCAGGUCUUCCAUAAAGAACCAAAUUCUGUUUCCUCAUCUGCAUUAAGCAACCUCAUUUCAGGAAUGUAUUGAAAUGAAUCAGUGAUUUGCUGGUAGGAAGCUUGCAGAGAAGCAGUCUACAGUGGACCCCGAGGAAAGAGGCUGAUUCAAAGAAGAAGCAGAAUCCCCAGGCUGAGUGGAAAGUGGCAAAAUGGCCAACUUCCCAGCCUCUGAGGCGUUGGGGAAAUGUGAGUCUGCAUUGCAUGUUCGGCCUUAGAUUUACUCUCCUUCCCACAUUUAACUUUGUGGUGGAUGAAUUUAAAUUUAAGCACUCCCAUGAGGUCAUCCCCUCCGUGGCACUGCCAUAUUUUGGCAACACCUUGAUAAGGAUGCUUGUGGAAGCUCAAUACUGUUUCCCUGAUGGGAUUUCCACAUCUUCCUGACUUGCCACCUCAUUCUGGAAUAUUCCUGCAACUGGAGAAUCUGAGGAAGAAUAUCUUUGCCAGUAUUCUCCUCUGUGCAACCAACAACAGCUGCUCCACUUCUGGGUGUGGGUCUUCCUGGGGUGAGAGACCCCCUUUUGCCACUGGUUCUAGAUUAACAUGUACACCGUGAAUCAUACUCAUGGCAGAAUAUGGAGUCCAAAAGCCAAGUCUGGUUUGCAAAUGUUUUUCCUGGGAAGGGGACUUCCUAAUUGAGGGUAGAGCCUUUAAUCAAGGCAACAUCACCAAGAGAACCUGUCUGUGAAUUGCAGGGCUGUCUACCCUCACUGUGCUGCUUUGAAUAGGUUUUCCCCCCUUAGACACUUGUGUUUGAAUGCUUGGCCUACAGGGAGUUACAUUACUAGGAAGCGUGACCUUUUUGGAUUAGGUGGCCUUGUUGGAAGAGGUAUGACACUUUACCAAUUGGCUUUGAGUCCCUCUCCCUACCAGCACCAGUCUUCUCCCGGCUGCCUUCUGACCCAGACACGAAACUCUCAGCAACUUUUCCAGUACCAUGCCUUCUGGAAGAUGCUUUGCUUCUAGCCUUGAUAAUGGACUGAACCUCUGAAACUGUAAGCCAGCCCCCUUGGUCAUUGACACCCCACACAUACACACACAAACACACACACACAAACACACACACACAAACACACACACACACAGAGCGUGAGAGAGACAGGGAGAGAGGGAGACAGACAGACUGAGAGACAGACAGACAUGCACACACAAUUUGUGUGUCCAAGUGUAUAUAUAAUCUAAAAAGAGUUUUGCCAAUUUGGUUGAUACUGAUUCUGCCAAGAGACACGAUAAACACAGUCCUGAUGCCUGGGAAAUCUUCCUUUGUAUGACACAUAAGAGUUUGAAGAUUUCCCCAAACAAGAUGCAAUGCUACCAUCGCUCCUCCGUGUGUACCAGAGUUUGAAGGUCAAACCCUGUAGUUAUUAUGUAGACACACAAAUGCAAAAAUAAAGAAAUAAUGCGUUGGGUAGAGGAUGGGAGAACCCGAGGGCCAUGACUGAAGUAGAUGCAGUUGUCCUGUAUGAAGUUGUCAAAAAUAUAUGAAAUCAUUAAACUAGAUGAAACCAAAAAUGGAAAGUUUGGAAGAAAUAUAAAUAGUGCACAGGACCAUGAGGACGAGUUAGCAAGUGAUUGAAACUAUUUUCCAAAACUAAUUGAGAAAUCCUGAAAAAACUUGGGGAAAUUGCUACAGCAGAAAAAAAAAUCUGGAUUAAAAUUAUCCAUCACAAAAGUAUUGCAAAGAAUGACGGGAAAAGGCAGAGGAAAAGCCAUUUAAUUUUAAGAUUUUUUGAGAGGAAAAUCAAGUAUGAGCAGCCUCGACUAUUUUACGAUGGAGUUCACUUUGGAGUUCACUAACUAAUGGUGUUAGCACACAGGGAAGCACAGGCAUUAAGGAAGAGCCCCUCUCUGAGGUAAAGGCUGUACACACUCCAGACAUAGACACUGCUUGAAAGAGACUCACACAUUAUUUUAGGCCGUGUGCUUCCUGAAGACAGGAAUUCCUUCAGUCUUGUUGCCCUCUGAACCCAAAGGUGAUCCCUAGUGAAAACUGAACAAUCAUGGACUGAAUACCUAACUGAAGUCCCUUGUGCUAGGGAGGACACACAGCUGGGAGCAAACCCAAAAUCUGACCUUAGGAAACAAAUCAGUAUUUCAGGACCUGGGAAAGGAAGUGCAAUCCUGACUUGUCCUGCUGAGGUAGGAGGUGGGAUUGGGGGAGGUGCACCCUAGCUGUCACAUCUCUGGAAAGGAAGCACAGAGCAGGCUAAUGACUUUCCUUACCCCUGCUGUAAUACUAUUGCCCACCCUAUGGUCUGAAUGUGAGUCUUCUCACUAGAGAGCAGGAGUCACGUGAUUUCAAUAUGACCAUUCAGGAGAGUCCUGGUUGGCUAGCCAGUCUGAUUGGCCAAGUUGUGGACAUGUGACCAAUUAAGUCAUAGUUACAGUUGGUGCAGGGUGGCUGAGACAGUUGGUAACUGGUCUGCUAUCAUUGAGGUUAAGGUUUCACUCUGGGACUCCAGAGGCAGAGACAGUAAUAUGAGGCAGUGUGUGACACCAUGAUUAGAGGACAGCAGCUCUUGUCUACUCCUCAAACACCCAGGUCGGCAGUGUGGUGUUAGACUCCAGUCAGAUCAGCUUAUGCGCAAACAGGAUGCAAAGAAGGUGGCAGAGGCCUGGAGAGAUGGCUCAGCAGUUAAGAGCACCCAACUGCUCUUCCAGAGGUCAUGAGUUCAAUUCCCAGCAACCACAUGGUGGCUCACAACCAUCUGUAAAGAGAUCUGAUGCCCUCUUCUGGUGUGUCUGAAGACAGCUACAGUGUACUUAUAUAUAAUAAAUAAAUAAAUCUUUAAAAAAAGAAGGUGGCAGAAAUCUCAAGACCCUUCAGAAACACAAUGCGUGAACCUGCUGCAGGGUGGAGAAGAGACAACUUGAGCCUUUUCCCCGCACACUUGUGCACUCCUUCUAGAUGUGAUCUUGGAUGAGGUUUGCAAGAAUUUUAUUGAGUAUUUUUGUGUUGAUAUUCGUAGGGGAAAUUGGUCUGAAGCUCUUUUUCUUUGUUGGGUCUUGGUGUGUUUUUAGGUAUAAGAGUAAUUGUGGCAUCAUAGAAGGAAUUUGGUAGUGCUCUGUCUGUUUCUAUUUUGUGGAAUAGUUUGGACAGUAUUGGUAUGAGGUCUUCUAUGAAGGUCUGAUAGAAUUCUGCACAAACCCCAUCUGGUUGUGGGCUGUUUUUAAUUUUGAGAAUUUUAAUAACUGCUUCUAUUUCUUUAGGAGUUAAAGGGUUGUUUAGAUGGUUUAUCUGUUCCUGCUUUAACUUUGGUACCUGGUAUUUUUCUAGAAAAUUGUGCAUUUCCUCCAGAUUUUCAAGUUUUAUUGAUUAUAUGAUCUUGUAGUAGGAUCUGAUGAUUUUUUUAAAUUUCCUCAGAUUCGGUUCUUAUGUCUCCCUUUUCAUUUUUAAUUUUUUUAAUUUGAAAACAUUCUCUGUGGACUCUUGUUAGUCUGUCUAAGGGUUUAGCCUUCGUGUUGAUUUCAUCAAUGAACCAGCUCUUGGCUUUGUUGAUUCUUUGUACAGUCCUUUUUGUUUCUUCUUGGUUGAUCUCUUCACUGAGUUUGACUAUUUCUUGCCUUCUACUCCUCUUGGGUGUGUUUUCCUCUUUUUGUUUUAGAGCUUCUAGGUGUGCUGUCAAGCUGCUGAUGUAAGCUCUCUCUAGUUUCUUUUUGGAGGCACUGAGAGCUGUGAGUUUUCCUCUUGGCACAGCUUUCAUUGUGUCCCAUAAGUUUGGGUGUAAGCGACAGGUCCGGGGGUCACCUGGAAGAGAAUGGGGGACAAGGGAUGCGAAGGACACCAAGACAAGAGUCUGAUCAAGGUGACAACUUUACUUUUCCACAAGGUUGAAUUUAUACCAUAACAUGGUUAACAGAGGGAGGGGGGAGUAAAAAACAUUUACACAGGCCAAGGACACAAUAUUCGGGUGGUCAGGGAGUAGGCUGAUGUUGACAGGUUGUCAUAUCUAUUAGUCAGCAGGAUGUCUUUAUUAUUAUUAUUGUUCUUGACCACCAAAUUUGUAUUAGUCUUCUGCAGCUGGUGGGGGAUUUUCCAUGGACCUAAUCAUACUUAAUUCUAAUAACCAUAAUAAUAACAUCAACAAUGGAGGGCUUUGAGGGCAUCGCUACCACCAUUUUGGUAUGAUGUACCUCCAUGGUCAUUAAAUUCUAAGAUGUCCUUAAUUUCUUUCUUUAUUUCUUCCUUUGCCAAGUUAUCAUUGAGUAGAGUGUUGUUCAGAGUACAUGUUUAUGUGGGCGUUCUGUCGUUAUUGUUGUUAUUGAAGAUCGACUAUAGUCCAUGGUGGUCUGAUAGGAUGCAUGGGAAUAUUAUCUUUCUCUUGAGGACUGUUUUGUGACUGAUUAUAUGGUCAGUUUUGGACAAGGUACUAUGAGGUACUGAGAAGAAGGUAUAUCCUUUUGUUUUAGGAUAGAAUGUUCUAUAAAUAUCUGUUAAAUCCAUUUGGUUCAUAACUUCUGUUAGUUUCUCUAUAUCUCUGUUUAAUUUCUGUUUCCACAGUCUGUCCAUUGAUGAGAUUGGGGUGUUGAUCUUAGAGCAUAAGCUAUUGGUGUUUUGUGUUUUUAAUAGGGUUAUUUGUCUCCCUGCGGUCUAACUUCUUGAGUUCUUUGUAUAUUUUGGAUAUAAGGCCUCUAUCUGUUGUAGGAUUGGUAAAGAUCUUUUCCCAAUCUGUUGGUUGCUGUUUUGUCCUAACCACAGUGUCUUUUGCCUUACAGAAGCUUUGCAGUUUUAUGAGAUCCCAUUUGUCGAUUCUUGAUCUUAGAGCAUAAGCCAUUGGUGUUUUGUUCAGGAAAUUUUUUCCAGUGCCCAUGUGUUCCAGAUGCUUCCCUAGCUUUUCUUCUAUUAGUUUGAGUGUGUCUGGUUUGAUGUGGAGGUCCCUGAUCCACGUGGACUUAAGCUUUGUACAGGGUGAUAAGCAUGGAUCGAUCUGCAUUCUUCUACACGUUGACCUCCAGUUGAACCAGCACCAUUUGCUGAAAAUGCUAUCUUUUUUCCUUUGGAUGGUUUUGGCUCCUUUGUCAAAAAUCAAGUGCCCAUAGGUGUGUGGGUUCAUUUCUGGGUCUUCAAUUCUGUUCCAUUGGUCUACCUGUCUGUCUCUGUACCAAUACCAUGCAGUUUUUAUCACUAUUGCUCUGUAAUACUGCUUGAGUUCAGGGAUAGUGAUUCCCGCUGAUGUGCUUUUAUUGUUGAGGAUAGUUUUAGCUAUCCUGGGUUUUUUUUUAUUCCAGAUGAAUUUGCAAAUUGUUCUGUCUAACUCUAUGAAGAAUUGGAAUGGUAUUUUGAUGGGGAUUGCAUUGAAUCUGUAGAUCGCUUUUGGUAAAAUGGCCAUUUUUACUAUAUUAAUCCUGCCAAUCCAUGAGCAUGGGAGAUCUUUCCAUCUUCUGAGGUCUUCUUCAAUUUCUUUCCUCAGUGUCUUAAAGUUCUUAUUGUACAGAUCUUUUACUUGCUUGGUUAAAGUCACACCGAGGUACUUUAUAUUAUUUGGGUCUAUUAUGAAGGGUGUCGUUUCCCUAAUUUCUUUCUCGGCUUGUUUCUCUUUUGUGUAGAGGAAGGCUACUGAUUUAUUUGAGUUAAUUUUAUACCCAGCCACUUUGCUGAAGUUGUUUAUCAGCUUUAGUAGUUCUCUGGUGGAAUUUUUGGGAUCACUUAAAUAAACUAUCAUAUCAUCUACAAAUAGUGAUAUUUUGACUUCUUCUUUUCUGAUCUGUAUCCCCUUGACCUCCUUUUGUUGUCUGAUUGCUCUGGCUAGAACUUCAAGAACUAUAUUGAAUAAGUAGGGAGAGAGUGGGCAGCCUUGUCUAGUCCCUGAUUUUAGUGGGAUUGCUUCAAGGUUCUCUCCAUUUACUUUAAUGUUAGCAACUGGUUUGCUGUAUAUGGCUUUUACUAUGUUUAGGUAUGGGCCUUGAAUUCCUAUUCUUUCCAGGACUUUUAUCAUGAAGGGGUGUUGAAUUUUGUCAAAUGCUUCUCAGCAUCUAAUGAAAUGAUCAUGUGGUUUUGUUCUUUCAGUUUGUUUAUAUAAUGGAUCACGUUGAUGGUUUUCCUUAUAUUAAACCAUCCGUGCAUGCCUGGGAUGAAGCCUACUUGGUCAUGGUGGAUGAUUGUUUUGAUGUGCUCUUGGAUUCGGUUUGCCAGAAUUUUAUUGAGUAUGUUUGCGUCGAUAUUCAUAAGGGAAAUUGGUCUGAAGUUCUCUUUCUUUGUUGGGUCUUUGUGUGGUUUAGGUAUAAGAGUAAUUGUGGCUUCAUAGAAGGAAUUCGGUAGUGCUCCAUCUGUUUCAAUUUUGUGGAAUAGUUUGGAUAGUAUUGGUAUGAGGUCUUCUAUGAAGGUCUGAUAGAAUUCUGCACUAAACCCGUCUGGACCUGGGCUCUGUUUGGUUGGGAGACCUUUAAUGACUGCUUCUAUUUCCUUAGGAGUUAUGGGGUUGUUUAACUGGUUUAUCUGUUCCUGAUUUAACUUUGGUACCUGGUAUUUGUCUAGGAAAUUGUCCAUUUCCUGUAGAUUUUCAAGUGUUGUUGAAUAUAGGCUUUGAUAGUAAGAUCUGAUGAUUUUUUGAAUUUCCUCUGAAUCUGCAGUUCUGUCUCCCUUUUCAUUUCUGAUUUUGUUAAUUUGGACACACUCUCUGUGUCCUCUCGUUAGUCUGGCUAAGGGUUUAUCUAUCUUGUUGAUUUUCUCAAAGAACCAACUUUUGGUUCUGUUGAUUCUUUCUAUGGUCCUUUUUGUUUCUACUUGGUUGAUUUCAGCUCUGAGUUUGAUUAUUUCCUGCCUUCUACUCCUCCUGGGUGUAUUUGCUUCUUUUUGUUCUAGAGCUUUUAGGUGUGCUAUCAAGCUGCUGACAUAUGCUCUUUCCUGUUUCUUUCUGCAGGCACUCAGCGCUAUGAGUUUUCCUCUCAGCACAGCUUUCAUUGUGUCCCAUAAGUUUGGGUAUGUUGUACCUUCAUUUUCAUUAAAUUCUAAAAAGUCUUUAAUUUCUUUCUUUAUUUCUUCCUUGACCAGGUUAUCAUUGAGUAGAGCAUUGUUCAAUUUCCACGUAUAUGUGGGCAUUCUUCCCUUAUUGUUAUUGAAGACCACUUUUAGGCCGUGGUGGUCCGAUAGCAUGCAUGGAAUUAUUUCUAUCUUUCUGUACCUGUUGAGGCCUGUUUUUUGACCAAUUAUAUGGUCAAUUUUGGAGAAAGUACGAUGAGGAGCUGAGAAGAAGGUAUAUCCUUUUGCUUUAGAAUAGAAUGUUCUAUAAAUAUCCGUUAAGUCCAUUUGGCUCAUGACUUCUCUUAGUCUGUCUACGUCUCUGUUUAAUUUCUGUUUCCAUGAUCUGUCCAUUGAUGAGAGUGGGGUGUUGAAAUCUCCCACUAUUAUUGUGUGAGGUGCAAUGUGUGUUUUGAGCUUUAGUAAGGUUUCUUUUACGUAUGUAGGUGCCCUUGUAUUUGGGGCAUAGAUAUUUAGGAUUGAGAGUUCAUCUUGGUGGAUUUUUCCUUUGAUGAAUAUGAAGUGUCCUUCCUUAUCUUUUUUGAUGACUUUUAGUUGAAAAUUGAUUUUAUUUGAUAUUAGAAUGGCUACUCCAGCUUGCUUCUUCUGACCAUUUGCUUGGAAAGUUGUUUUCCAGCCUUUCACUCUGAGGUAGUGUCUGUCUUUGUCUCUGAGGUGUGUUUCCUGUAGGCAGCAGAAUGCAGGGUCCUUGUUGCGUAUCCAGCUUGUUAAUCUAUGUCUUUUUAUUGGGGAGUUGAGGCCAUUGAUGUUGAGAGAUAUUAAGGUAUAGUGAUUAUUGCUUCCUGUUAUAUUCAUAUUUGGAUGUGAGGUUAUGUUUGUGUGCUUUUCUUCUCUUUGUUUUGUUGCCAAGACGAUUAGUUUCUUGCUUCUUCUAGGGUAUAGCUUGCCUCCUUAUGUUGGGCUUUACCAUUUAUUAUCCUUUGUAGUGCUGGAUUUGUAGAAAGAUAUUGUGUAAAUUUGGUUUUGUCAUGGAAUAUCUUGGUUUCUCCAUCUAUGUUAAUUGAGAGUUUUGCAGGAUACAGUAACCUGGGCUGGCAUUUGUGUUCUCUUAGGGUCUGUAUGACAUCUGUCCAGGAUCUUCUGGCUUUUCAUAGUCUCUGGUGAGAAGUCUGGUGUAAUUCUGAUAGGUCUGCCUUUAUAUGUUACUUGACCUUUUUCCCUUACUGCUUUUAAUAUUCUUUCUUUAUUUUGUGCGUUUGGUGUUUUGACUAUUAUGUGACGGGAGGUGUUUCUUUUCUGGUCCAAUCUAUUUGGAGUUCUGUAGGCUUCUUGUAUGCCUAUGGGUAUCUCUUUUUUUAGGUUAGGGAAGUUUUCUUCUAUGAUUUUGUUGAAGAUAUUUACUGGUCCUUUGAGCUGGGAGUCUUCACUCUCUUCUAUACCUAUUAUCCUUAGGAUUGAUCUUCUCAUUGAGUCCUGGACUUCCUGUAUGUUUUGGACCAGAAGAAAUAUGUUUUUUAUUAAGUCAUUCUAUAUUCUUCGAAAUUUAAAUUUGUUCUGUUAGCCUAUUUUUGACUAUUGUAAUAAGGCCUUUAUUGAAAAUGUGGUGGUUUUUCAGUUGUAUCUAUUGUGAGUAAAUAGUUAAUGUCAGAGGAAAGGACAGUUCUUGAACAGAAAGGGGGAUAUGAUGAGGAAGCUUAAGCAUUCUUUGGAAAGUCAUUUGCGUUGAAUGGUGAUUUGCUGGCACGAAGACGUGAAGGAACAUUUCCCUGAAGUAGAUGAGGUUGAAAAGAUGUUUUACCUAAGCAAGCUUGUGCAAGGGCACAUGAUGAAUGACUCUUUGCUAACAACUCACAUGUAUUGAUCCACCUUCCAUACUUGAGGUUCAUUGUCUAGGAUGGCCUAGAGAGAAACUCACAUAAAGUUUCUGCUGUGUACUUUGUUUCAUGAUAUUUUUGAGAUCUCAAGCCAAAGGGCAGAGUAGGCAGGCUCACAUCCCAAUGUAAGACACCUGGUUAGCUAAAACCCUGGGAGGUCAUGUGAUGUUUGGAGGGCAUAUAAAUAGGAUUCAACAGCUGUGAGAAGAGUUUGCAUUGCUCACACAGCUAACCUCUUCUUGGCCUUGUGUCUUCACUGAUGUUCACUCAGUCCAGAGAGACACAGCUGCUCCUGGCAUCCCUGCUGAUCCGAAUCCCUCCUGCUUGAAGUCCUCCAGCAUCAUGAUCAAAUAUGAUUUUGAAACUAGAUCUUGCUUUUCUGGUGUGUUUGAGUAUUCCGUGUUUGCUUUGGUGGGCGAAUUGGGCUCCGAUGAUGCCAUGUAGUCUUGGUUUCUGUUGCUUGGGUUCCUGCUCUUGCCUCUCCCCAUCAGAAUAUCUCUAGUGUUACUUUGUACUGCUAUUUCUGACAGUGGCUAGACUGUCCUAUAAGCCUGUGUGUCAGGAGUGCUGUAGACCUGUUUUCCUGUUUUCUUUCAGCCAGUUAUGGGGACAGAGUGUUCUGCUUUCGGGCGUGUAGUUUUUCCUAUCUACAGGCCUUCAGCUGUUUCUGUGGGCCUGUGUCUGGUGUUCAACAGGCAGGUCACUUGCAGCAGAAAAGUUGGUCUUACCUGUGGUCCCGAGGCUCAAGUUUGCUCGUGGGGUGCUGCCUAUGAGCUCUUCGUGGCGGCAGCAACCAGGAAGAUCUGUGCCGCCGUUUCCGGGAGCCUCCGUGCAUCAGGGUUCUAGAUGGCGUUUGUUGUUUUCCUCUGGCAUCAGAGAUGUGUGCAGAGUGCAGUCUCUUCUGGUUUCCCAGGCGUGUCUGCCUCUCUGUAGGUUUAGCGCUCCCUCCCACGGGAUUUGGGUGCAGAGAACUGUUUAUCUGGUCUGUCCCUUCAGGUUCCGGCGGUGUCUCAGGCCCAGGGAUCCUGCCGCUCCUGGACCCUCCCCCACGGGAACCCAGAGGCCAUAUACAGUUUCCUCUUGGGCCAGGGAUGUGGGCAGGGGUGGGCAGUGUUGGUGGUCUCUUCCGCUCUGCAGCCUCAGGAGUGCCCACCUGACCAGGCGGUGAGGUCUCUCUCCCACGGGAUUUGGGAGCAGAGAGCUGCUGCGGGCCGGGAUCCGCAGGUUUGGGACUACCGGUAAACACUGGAAGUGCCCGGUCCUAGAGUAAUUUUGCCUCUGUGUGUCCUGAGUUCACCAGGCAGGUCUCUUGCAGCAGAAAAGUUGGUCUUACCUGUAGUCCCGAGGGUCAAGUUUGCUCGUGGGGUGCUGCCUAGGAGCUCUCCGCGGCGGCAGCAACCAUGAACGCAUCUUGGAUCUUGAAAUAUGUGAUGUGUGUAUUUUUUGUGGGUGUGUGAAUAUGAAUGUUCGUACAUGACUGUGUGAGUGUCUUUGUGACUGUGUGUUUGUGUGUGUGUGUGUGUGUGUGUGUGUGUUUCUGUGCAUGAGUGUGCGUGUGUGGAGCACUUUUGCUCCUCUCUAACACUCUUCUUAGAGAACAAUGUAUCUGCCAUCUUCAGUGACCCUUGUGUUAAGGCGUUGUGGCCAGCUCUUUCCACAAAGUUUUGUUUUAAUUUUGUCUUCUUAUUCCUCCUCUUCUUUCUCCUCCUGUUCCCUCCUCCUCUUCCUCCCCUUCCUGGUCUUCUUCUUCCUUCUCCUGGAGUUCUAUGCAUGCUAACCAGUGCUCUUCCACAAUCCAUAGUUCCCUAUUUAGAUAUAAAAUUAAAAUUGCAUGUGAAGUAUCAAAGCCAGUGCUAUAUUUCCAGUAAGAAAUGUGACCAACUUAUCACUAUGAUUAUUAAAUUUGUAGGGUUUUCACACGCUCAUUGUAAAUGAUAACCAUUGCUUGAUGAUAUCUUUUUAAUAAUCAUAUAAGUAUAUUUAAUGGAUAUUGUAUGCAUGGUGUUGAGUCUACCCUUAGCCAUCACCAUAUGGAGGCUACACUUUAUGGGUCACUAUCCUCCCAGUGCUCUCUCUUAGACUUUGAAAAAUCUAGGCUGACAUGCCAUGGGUGACAGGCAGGAGCUUUGCCACUGAGUCUUCCUCUGUACCUCAGAUAAGAGUGCUUAGUCAUCGUCAGUGUUUUUAUAUGGUGGAACAAGGACAUUUAUUCAAAGACGGGGCUUCAUGUGUCACAGGCUGACCUAAAGUCUCUAAAGUAUGGGAAGAUGACCUUGAAAACUUGGAUGUCGGAUCCUCCUGUCUCCUCUGGAAGCUGGGAUCACAGGCUUGUGCCACAAGCAUGGCAUGUGUGGUGCACAGAAUGGAAUACAGUGGCUCCAAACUCUCGCUUCAUCCUGUUGAGGACUGUCAAAGCUUAGCUUUUUAUCAUCAAUCACCUGCCUGUUGAGGUCCUCAUCUCUGGAACAAUUGAAAAACUCACAUUUAUUGGCCAGUGGUAGCUGUUGUUAAUAGCUCUUGCCAGUCCUGAAUAUCUGACCACAUGAGAGGUGGAGGCAGGAUGAUCAGGAGUUCAAGGCCAGCUUCAGCCAUAUAGCAAAAUAGAGGCAAUCUUGGUCUAUAUUAAAUCCUUCUUGAACAAAACCAUAUAGACACCAAGGUGUAACCACUCUGAAAAUCAGUAUGGAGAACUCUCCAGAAGCAGAGAACACAGGCAGAUGUGACAAAGCCAUACCACCCACUGAUUUACUCCCCCAAAGAAUGGGCAUCCUACUUCCCUGAGUCUUUCCCUGGCAAGUGUAUUGUGCACCCCCCCUCUCUAGUGGAAUCACCCCAGAAAACAGGGAAGUACAAAGGGUGUUGGAGGUGGAGGGUAGUGGAGGAGGGGAUAGUAAGAUACAGUUGCCUAAAACUGGAAACAGCAAGAACUAUGAAAGGGAUUGUGACAGUCUCUGAGGAUGAGCGAGGGAGGGAUAGAAGCACCAAGAGAGAAUGGCAUCAAGGAUGAUAGGAAAAGCCAGAGGAACAUUAUUUUCUGUUUAUGUAAAGAUACAUAAAGGACUAUGGGGACACACAGACAGCACCCAUCCCUGCACACUGCACACACAUUCUGAACACUCCCAGAUUUCAUGGUCCUUAUUGCUGUUCAGUGUGCAGGAUUCAGGCCAUGUGCUCCUACUAGCAUCCUGCCUCCACGUUGGCCAAAACAACAGAAUCCCUGAGUUUUUCAGCAAAAUCCCCCUGCAUGAGGUUUCAGUAUUUAAGGGUGAAGAUGAAUUUUGUGUGCUUGAGAGCAAAGCAAUCCCUUUUGCCAGAGCAAUGGAGAACCACAGACAGAGGCAGCAGCUUGUCUGCCCAAUGAGUGAGCAUUGGCAUUAGUGACAUCAGUUCUCCUUCCAGCACUCACUGUCCUCACCUUGAGCAUUCUCCAGGAUAUACAGUGCACUGCAGUUGCAGAAGUGUUGAGGAGAAUUGUGGGACUGCUUGUCACCCAGAUAAGUUGAAGAUUUCUCUUGUGCACAGGCAAGUAAUCCUGGUUGACACCACACUUCUCUGAAUCCUGGUGUGGCUCCAUGACAGUGCGUGGCCCUCUUGAUUUCCAGGUCUUCCAUAAAGAACCAAAUUCUGUUUCCUCAUCUGCAUUAAGCAACCUCAUUUUAGGAAUGUAUUGAAAAGAAUCAGUGAUUUGCUAGUAGGAAGCUUGCAGAGAAGCAGUCUACAGUGGACCCCGAGGAAAGAGGCAGAUUCAAAGGAGAAGAAGCAGAAUCCCCAGGCUGAGUGGAAAGUGGCAAAAUGGCCAACUUCCCAGCUUCUGAGGAGUUGGGGAAAUGUGAGUCUGCAUUGCAUGUUCAGCCCUAGAUUUACUCUCCUUCCCACAUUUAACUUUGUGAUGGAUGAAUUUAAAUUUAAGCACUCCCAUGAGGUCAUCCUCUCUGUGGCAUGGCCAUAUUUUGGCAACACCUUGGUAAGGAUGCUUGUGGAAGCUCAAUACUGUUUCCCUGAUGAGAUUUCCACAUCUUCCUGACUUGCCACCUCAUUCUAGAAUAUUCCUGCAACUGGAGAAUCUGAGGAAGAAUGUCUUUGCCAGUAUUCUCCUCUGUGCAACCAACAACAGCUGCUCCACUUCUGGGUGUGGGUCUCCCUGGGGUGAGAGACCCCCUUGCCACUGAGUCUAGAUUAACAUGUGCACCAUGAAUCAUACUCAUGGCAGAAUAUGGAGUCUGAAAGCCAAGUCGGGUUUGCAAAUUUUUUUCUUGGGAAGGGGACUUGAAAAUUGAGAGUAGAGCAUUUAAUCAAGGCAACAUCAUCAAGAGAACCUGUCUGGGAAUUGCAGGGCUGUCUACACUCACUGUGGUGCUUUGAAUAGGUUUUCCCCCUUAGACACUUGUGUUUGAAUGCUUGGGUACAGGGAGUUACAUUACUAGGAAGCGUGACCUUUCUGGAUUAGGUGGCCUUGUUAGAAGAGGUAUGACACUUUAUCAAUUGGCUUUGAGACCCUCUCCCUACUUGCACCAGUCUUCUCCCGGCUGCCUUCUGAUCCAGACACGAAACUCUCAGCAACUUUUCCAGUACCAUGCCUUCUGGAAGAUGCCUUGCUUCUGGCCUUGAUGAUAAUGGACUGAACCUCUGAACCUGUAAGCCAGCCCCCUUGGUCAUUGACACCCCACACAUACACACACAAACACACACACAAACACAAACACACACACACACAGAGCGUGAGAGAGACAGGGAGAGAGCGAGACAGACAGAUUGACAGACAGACAGACAUGCACACACAAUUUGUGUGUCCAAGUGUAUAUAUAAUCUAAAAAGAGUUUUGUCAAUUUGGUUGAUACUGAUUAUCCCAACAGACACGAUAAACACAGUCCUGAUGCCUGGGAAAUCUUCCUUUGUAUGACACAUAAGAGUUUGAAUUUUCCCCAAACAAGAUGCAAUGCUACCAUCGCUCCUCCAUGUGUACCAGAGUUUGAAGGUCAAACCCUGUAGUUAUUAUAUAGACACACAAAUGCAAAAAUAAAGAAAUAAUGCGUUGGGUAGAGGAUGGGAGAACCUGAGGGCCAUGACUGAAGUAGAUGCAGUUGUCCUUUAUUGUUGAUUUUUUGGUUAUUAAUCUUUUAAAUUCAUUGCUUGUUAUUGACCUAAUCAGGCAAUUUAUGUGUAUUUAGGAGUUUGCACAUUUCUCCCUCUCAGUUGAUUGCAAUAUAGGUUUCCUAUUCUUACCCAUAGGUUCUCAGGUCUGUUUUAAUGGCUGUUUUGUUGGAUCUGUUUAUUUAUUUUAUGUAAGUUAGUAUAGUGUUGUUCUCUUUAGACACACCAGCAGAGGACAUUAGAUCCCAUUACACAUGGUUGUGAGCCACCAGAUAAAUUACUGGUAAUUGAACUGAGGACCUCUGGAAGAAUAGUCAAUGCUCUUAACCACUGAGCCAUCUCCACCCUUGCUCUAAUGGUUCUUAGAGCCUAGCAUAUGUACUAGUGUACAACAUUCAUUUGUUUCUCUCAUUUUACUCUGUAUCUUUUAAUUUUGUUGGAUUUGGGAAUGCUGCCUCAGUUUCCUCUCUCCUUUCCAAGGACCAUGCUUUCUUUUUUCAUUGUUCAUUAUGGUCUGUUUCGUUAGGUUCAGCUCUCACCUUCAGUGUGUUUUGUCACCUAUUGCUUUGGGGUUUGUUUGUUAUUUUUCCAACAGAGACUCUGUCCUGUGUCUCUCAAAUGAUGAAGGAGAAGAGGCUCAUCUCUGUGGUUGUUGAACCAUGGGAGCAGGGAGUAUCCUGACAAGGACUGAGAGGUUCUGGAAGGAGCCAGGUUCUAGCUUCCUGGAGAUGUGUGUCUGUACACCAUCAGACAGCAAUGAAACACUGGGUAUGUGUGCUUAUAGGCUUCCUCCAGUGGCUAGAAUUUUCCUACUAGCUCUAUGCUCUGUCAGCUUACAGCAGCACCAGCCAUGAUGUCAUGGUCAAACUGGUCAAGCACCCUAUCCCAGCUCCUGACUUUGUAUUUGCAACAUGUCCUGGAUCCAUGACCAUCAGCAGCAGCUGAUGGUGCAAUGAACUUCCUGAACAAGAUGUGAAAGUGUUUCCCGCUGAGCCUUGAGAGGUGAACAUAUAUUGUCCCUGUCAUCUGGACGGAACAACUUGAGGAAGGGCCAUCCAUAUUCCUGCUCCCUAACCAGGACACUGCUAAGAAACACAAUGCGUGAACCUGCUGCAGCGUGGAGAAGAGACAACUUGAGCCUUUUCCCGCACACUUGUGCACUCCUUCUAGAUGUGAUCUUGGAUGAGGUUUUCCUGUGUUGCUGAGCAGGCCUCUGUGGCAUGACCUUCAGUACCCACCAGUUGUCACAGACUGCACGUUCUAUUUUGGCUCUGGCUCUAGUCACAGAGGAAGGAAGACUGUGGACAGUUACUGACCUAUUGAACAGGCUAUAAUAAAUACUAAUAUGGGCUCAGCCUACAUCAAGGCAAUCAGAUGUGCUGGGUCUUCUUCACUGAUAUCAAUCUCCCUGAGAAUCAUUUGGCUGCCAAAGAUACUGCUGACUUCUGUAUAGGACAGCUGGUGGGCUAGAAUUCCCUCCCCAUCAGAGUGUAGCUAUUGAAAGCCUACAGGUCCUGUGCUCUUUCUGCUGUGUACCCCUUUCGUGUUAGAAGUCCCUGAGCCCUAAAGGGAAGGGAUUGAUAGCAACACUCCAUUUAAGGAAGAGUGUGCCAAGGUUUCUCACUCACUGUGCGAUUACUGGCUGUGGGAAACUAGAAAAAAAUCAUCCUGAUUGAGGUGAGGCAAAGACUACUACCACAAUUUUAAGCCAGAUUUGAAGCAAGUUUUAAUUCAAUCCUGACCAGGUUGAUGAACUCUGACCAGGUCCAUUCCCAAUCCAUUGCAGAGGCUUAAAAAGGCAUCACCAUAUUUCUCUUCAGGUCCAAUCAGGGGCAAGCAUACACCCUGAUGUGUUUCUUCCCACAUAACCUCCUGCUUACCUGUGAUGAAGCACUUCUGACAUAGUUGGAUUGAGCAAACUUGCUAGGGGUAGCAAAACCAUAUUGUGGUUUGUUAUUUUCCUUAAAGAAACACCUCCAGUAUUUCAGAAAGUUAUCUGUCCUUGGGCAGGUGGGGCUUACUGGUUGACCUUGGCCCACAAAGACAAGUAUGAUCAAUGUCUUGCUCAGCCAUUAUCGGAGAAGCCUCCUCCUGCAGCAGAUGGUUCUUGGGUUUGGGAAGCAUCUUCAUGUCCAAAUAUUUUUCUGCUUCCAGAUGAGGUGAUGCCCUGGAAUGACUAGUGAAGAGGGAGAUGGGGUCUCCUCUGCAGUGCAGAGUGCUGGAUUUCCUCAGGUCCCAUGAUGGUUUUGUUUAUGUGGGAUCUCCCUGUCUGCCUCUACAUUUGAUGGAUAAGGUGAUGUUUAUUCUUCAUCAAGGAUAUCCCUGCUAGCCAGCAGAUGGUACCUGAGGCACAAACAGUAUUACCAGUGUUACCUGUGGAUUAGUGAAGAUCCUGUGAUUCACCAUGGCCCCGGCAAAAACAAGACUCCAGCUAAUGCCUCUGCCUAGUUACCCAUUUAAUCUACAAAUAGUAGAUUAGUGUUCUAUUUAGCAUCAUUUUCAAAUUCUGUGUUCUGUUUGUUUUCUAUUAACAUGUAGGGUAUAAGGUUUUGUUGUAGAAGUUUCAAACAAAGUUUGUUUCCCUUAACUGUCCUCCAUCCCCCAACCCCAUUGCAUCCUUCUGUCUCUAGAAGUCUCCUCUCAGAGUUCAGGGCAUAGGCAUUCUAUUGCCUUCUCUUUCUCUUCCCCAACAUCUUUGUUGCAUUUUGUUUUAAAAAUCACUACCACCUUUGCCCUAGAGCUGUGACUCUACCAGCCCCUCUGGGUUCCCCUCUUGUUCUAUCCUGCUUAGCCUCAGGAGAUGACUGUGUUACCAGCCCCUUCUGGCUUCAAUCACUACUGCUUUUGUCCAGGGCCAGCCACCACAAACUCUAACCCAGCUUCCCUUUCUACCUGCUUUUGCACAGGACCAGUUGAGCUACCAGCCUCUCCUGAGACCCUUAAAUCCUCGGAUAAAACACACACACACACACACACACACACACACACACACACAGCUUGUUGUUACUUUACAACUUGCCUACUAGGCACUAUUGCUGUGUGCAGAUAUCUCUGCCUCUACUUAUUCUAGGGCAGUGGGUCCCAACCUUCCUAAUGCUGACAUCCUUUAAAACAGUUCCUUGGGUCGUGGUGACGCCCAAACAUAAAAUUAUUUUCAUUGCUAUUUUAUAACUUUGAUGUGUUACUCUUAUGAAUCAUAAUGUGAAUAUCUGUGAUUUCCAAUAGUCUUAGGUGACCCCUAUGAAAGGGGUUGUGAGGUGAGAGACUGCCGUUCUACACUCAGGCAAGUUUACCCACAAGGCCCUGCUUUGUCUUCUUCCUCUAGAGUUUUCUGCAUGCUGGUAGGCUUGCUUGAACAGCUAUCUUUGCUCCUGUACAAAGCUAAAUCCUGUGUGUGUGUUCCUCUUCUCAGGUGAACUGAAAGAACUGGAUCCAAGGGACCCUUUGGAAUAAUUCCAUGGACAGACAACCUACUCCCCCCUAGAAUGUUUAUACAAAUGUGGGUGCCAGGGAGAAGCUUAAAGCCGGUCAAAUGGAGCCAACAAGGACACAGUGUCCUGCCACAGCCAGAAGAAGCCUGGAGAACACAGGGGACAGGAACUGUCCUCUCUGAGCAUGGAGGUUGUUCCUUGCAGAGGAAGAAGCCUGACAUGGCGAUAAGAAUGUACUCUUACAGUCUGGCAGCAUAAAUGGCCUGUCACUGAAGAGGAGGGCUCUGUCUGGAGCCUGUGGCCAUGGCUGGGGACCAGCUUUACAUCAGACCCUCUUCUCACAGGUUAAAAACAAAGGCAUAGGGAGACUAUUGCAAAGGAGGUUGGGGUAAGGUGUGCAGCCCAUGCUUCUCUCCCUGGAAGAUGUGUUUAAAGGACUGAAGAGACCUGAUGUGAAGACCAGAAGGGACACGAACUGUGUCACUAUAUAUUAGCCAGUGCUUCCUGGUAUAUCAUAAUUGCAUUUUGAGUCUUCUUCCAGUGGGUAGCAUUGAUACAGCUCACCAGCACGUUUUAAGUGUGAGGUCUAGAAGUGGCAGCUCCAUGGGAGCCUUGUGCCCCACAGAUGACAACUUGAGGCCCGUGUCCACUGUGCUGCUCUCAGGGGCGAUGUGAAACAGGCCCCUCCCAGGAGAGACACCUGGAAUGGUGCCUUCAAAGUGUCCCCUCUGCCAUUUUCAGCUUCAGUACAAACUAACGAUGUCCACAGGCAUUUCUGUCCAUCACUUAAGUUUUUAAAGAUGAACUCUGUGACCUUGAACUGAGCAAGCUCAGGAAUGUGAAUUCCUUUUCUGAGCAUGAACGUCUUCACCAAGGAUGUUCAACAGUGUAGUGCUUUCCUUUACAGACGACAGCCAGGAGGGCAUCUCCUCAUCUAAUAACAUCUCCAAAGGUCCCGAGUAAAGUCCCCAAGUUUUCUUUGAGAGGGACAUUGCAUUUGAAAUGUCACUCUUGUUCCUCUAGCCCACUGCAAAUAGUUAAUUCCUUCCCCCCUUCUUGAUGUCUUGACUCUGCAUAUUUUGGCUUUGCAGUCACCAAAAUGAGAGCCUUGGGGUUUAACCCAGGGCUCUUGUAACCUGUCAGAGUCGCUGCACACAGCAGCAGCAAUCCUGAUGUUUCCAUUGGUGUAGAAUCUGAUCCCAGUUGUAACCUAACUGGGUUGUGGCUCUGACUGCGAAUGAGAAAGAGAUGGUCCACCUGGAGGACCUCAAGUUCCUCAUCUUCAUGUUAAUGGUGACCUGGGAUGUUUGCAGGGAUAGUUGAUCCUCCGCACAUGGUGAACACUGUGCAUCAUGCAGUUAAAAAACAAUCCAGCAAAAAAGGGGUGCGGGGAUGCUCAACGGUUGGCCUCUGAAACAUGGUAGCUCCCAAGGUAUUUGCCUUUUCCGCGCCUAGACCUCAGAAGGCCUUAUCGAACACCAGCCCCUGAAGGAAAGAUUGUUCCCUGUCACAUAGGUCCUUUCUGAGCCCCUGGACUGAGUUCCAGAGCCCCAGAAAAUCACAAUUAGCUUCUUCAAUAAGAAACCAGGAUGGGUUUCUGUGUCAUCACCGCCAUGGCUUGUCAAUGCUGGCAUCCUGGUGGAAGAACCCCUAGCUACAUGGUACAAGAUGUAGAUAAGCAGAUACAAAAGAGGAAGAACAUUCCAGGAAAAUAGAUAUGCUGAUACAAAACCCCACGUCCCCCAAGCUAAGGCCUAUAGCUCCUGCAGAAAACACGUUUAUUUUUGCUGGUGUUCAGAAACUGAAGGGAUAGGUAAGCUCUUAUCGCCUUCCUUUGUGGCUUCCCCGGAGGAGAUGCUAGAAGGACCUGCUCAGGGCCCUCAGUCCUCAGGAAUGAGCUUAGUCUGGUUGGUCCUGGUACCAUCUUGGCAAUAGGGUCUGGAAUCCUACAGCCACAAACAUACCCACACCAGCGGUACCUGUACCUCAGUUCUCUUCCCUCUCAUACUCAUCGUCUCUUCCACUUGUCCAGCAGAGACACAGUGAAGAGAAUCAAAAUAAACUUCCACACUAGCCCAGCCUGUAGCCAUGCAAGGAAAAAGACCUGACUCAGAAGUUACGCAGUAACCUGACCAAACUUGUUCUGUCCCCUCAGCAUCCAUGAAUCUGCCCACGCUCCCCUUUAUGAAGUGGACAUCUACUGGGUGUUCCCCGUUCCCUUCACCACUUCAAAGCAGACACAUAUGGAAGGGGCUCUGUUAGUGACUUUCAACACAGACAGGACUCAGCGCUUAUCUAGUCUCAUAGUACCUACCUAAUUCUUCCCUUCUGAGCCUGUGCUUCUUGGCCAUCCCCCAACCCCCAACUUCUGGUCCCAUCUUCUGCUGUCUACUUUUAGCUCACUUUUUCUGGUUAAUAUGGGUGAUUUUUGUCCCUCCUGUGGUGACAAAUGUCCAGUGGCAUUCUCCAUAAUGAGUUAGAAUUCUUCAUCUGCAAAGGGCAUUCGAGAAGCAAAGAUAGAAGGCAGGAGUUCAUCUAGUGUGCCUACAAGGUGGCUACCUCUGUUCCCUCCAUUCUAGCCUCUUACCUUUGGGAUUCCUGGCUUCUAUUUGGAGCCGAGAGGAAGCAGCACGGUGUUCUCAGGGUGUUAACAGUUUGAUUCCUUGCCUCCGUCUACUCCCUGCAUUUCUUGGUCUUGAAAGUCGUGGGCGCAACAUGGGUUUGCCUGCUGGUGCUGUUUGAUUCAGCUGGUGUUUGCUACAAGGACAAGCUGACUGUAUUUUCAUUUGGCUCUGUGGUUGUCAGUUCAUGGGGUGACUCCAAGGAGGAUAGAUUUUCAGGUGGGGUGUCACAGGAUGUCAUGCUGAUCUCAGUGUUUCCCAAAAGCACGGCUGCCUAAGUUGGCCCCCACAACCCCAUGCCAUGUGAAUGGGAUGCAAGGGGCAGGGCAUUUUCUACAGGUGACAAAGCAUGGUGUUCAUGACCCAACCCUAAACCCAACCCCCACCUUCACCUUUUGUUUCUGGCUGUCCAGCAGCUGUGGCUUCUUAAGCAAUGCAAAAAUGGAAAGGUCAACUUCAUUCCUACUCCUCGUUCUGAGGGAUGAUGGGGCAGGGGUACAGCAAGGCUUUUUUUCUUUCCCCCAUGGUUUUUGUCAAACCAGGGUUACCUGGGCUUUGCUGUCUGCUAACAGCUGUCCCUCUAACUUAGUGACUUAAUAUGAUGUAUGUUGCUGUGACCUCAUUGAAUGGUUGUAUCCCAUGAUGAACAUGGCCUCGACAAUCUUGGAGAUUGAGACACAGAGGACUGUUUCUCCAUGGGAAGGUGUGAACCUUCUUCACUGAAGCUGUUCUGAGUUCCCUAUGAGCUGGUCUAUAGUCUUCUGGUACCCAGGGUUGACACUGAGUAUGUAUACAGUGAUGUUUUCCGUGUUUUGUUUUUUCAAGAAGUUAAGUGAAGUAUCCCUUUGUGGUAGUGGUUUGCUGUGGGAUUUCCAAAAAGGUUGGUGCUUAGUAUGAUAAGCACUCUGUUACCAUUUCAUAAAGCACUAAACCAAGGCCCCACAUGGCAUUGGCAAGUCUAUCCUAGCAUCUGCCCCAAAGACCCUGUGGGAUUAUAUAGCAAAGGUACCGCAGGUCUUUUGUGGCUUCUGCUCAGGGAUGACUUUUGUGGCCAGCCUGAAUCAUAGAAUCUGGUGUGUCUCUCAUCUGUGAGGAUGUUCCGUCAGCUUAAUGCUUUUUGUGUGCUAUUUUGCUUUGGUGGAGGUAAUAACUGUCAGCACCAUUUGCCAGAAAAUGCAAACUGUCUCCUCUUUGUGAAUACAGCCCAGCAUGCUUGAGUGAGGCCCACUAGCCACAUGUCCCAUGAUGACAAACAUGCUUGAUGGUGUAUCAGUUCUGUGGUAAAGGUUGAUAAUGUUUGGGUGAUCUAAUGGAUUUAUGUAUUCUACCUCAACGAUGAUGGUGGCAUUGUCCUCCUCUUGUCCAGUUGGAUAUCUGUGGAGGUGUGGCAUGGCCAGCUGCAUCUCCACAAAGGUACCACAGCCCAGGGUCAUUAAAAUAUUGUAGUAGUUUGUGAUUAUGUCUUCAUUAGAGGUGCUGGGCGUUAAGGCCUGCCCCAUUGCUACCUUAUCUUCUGUAACACCACCACACAGUGCCACAUUAGAAAAAAUUAAUAGUAAGUUCACCUCUAGGACUUGUGGCCUCCCUACCCUCGGGUUCUUAACCAGAUAUACAGUAUCGAGUAUGAAUUUAUUCCUAUGUAAAAAGGCCUUGAGUCUAAGAAGGAAGUGGUUUGUUAGUUCCCUUAUAUUUAUUCUGCUAUUGUACUUAUGGUCCUGUAUUGUCAGCCUGAUCAUUGCUAGAGCUCAUAGGGUUCAUAAGCUGGGUAGCACUUUUUAUGACUUUUUUCCUGUUCUGGUUUGCUCCUCUUGCUGUGAUAACACACAGACCAAAAGCAACUCAGAGGAGAGAAGGGUUUAUGUCACCUGGGAGGUGACAGUGCACUAUCAGUGGAAGCUAAGGCGGGAACUUGGGACAGAAACUGAACCAGGGAUCUGGAGAGCUACUGCUUACUGGCUUUCUUCCUGCUCAAGGUCAGCUCCCUUUCUCACACAGCCCAGCCCAGGCCCUGCUGCCUGUGAGUAGUACAUGCACAGUGAGACAGGUACUGUCCACAGCAGCGAGCAAUUGAGCAGUGGCCACUCCUGGAUUUAGGCCCCCCCCCGCCCCUUCUCAGGUGACUCUAGGUUUGUGUUAAGUUGACACUGGUAGCUGACUAUGACACUGCCUCGCUGGCCUCAGAGCACCGUUCUGCACUGUGAGCCGUAGCCUUCGGGGAGUGAGCUUCCAGUUUAGUACCAGCUGGAUUCCUUCAGGCUCUGUGUCCAAAGUGUGUGAUGCCUUCAGCAUUGGGGGGGGUCUUACUAUCAAGUUCUGGUGUGGGGUUGGGGAUUUAGCUCAGUGGUAGAGUGCUUGCCUAGCAAGCGAAAGGCCCUGGGUUCAGUCCUCAGCUCAAAAAAAAAAAAAAAAAAAAAAAAAAAAAAAAAAAGUUCUGGUGGGCAACCAAUAGUAAUAGCCUGAAUUCGGGAGGUACACCUCUGGGACCUCUGGAUUAACAGCUUGAGGGGAGGUAUCUCAAACCUGGCACUGGGCUGGCUUUUAUAUGGCAACUUGUGGCUCGAGGAAGUAGUAGUAUCCCCCACGUAAGGCAACUCCAUUCCGACUGUUUAUAUAUAAUUUAAGAAGUUAAUAAUAGUUUUUCUAUAUGGGUCUUUCAAGAAUCCUGAGUGUCAUCUUUCCCCCCAACCUUUCCUUUUCUUAUCCCUCCUUUCCUCCUCCCUGUUUAAACCUCCCCAACCAGUUCCCAUCCCCCACUACUAAUGCAUUGCUAAAUGGAUGGAUGUAAUAUCAAGCUGCCUUCUAAAUCUCUCUCUGUGUGCCCAGUUCAGUUCUUAGUACUCACCAAAGAGGAUCCUUGCGUUAUGGUUGAUGGCUAAUAUACAGAGUCAUAAUUAGUUGGGUGGACAGAGCAGGAAGAACAAGUGUCAGUGGAGUGGUCAGUCAUAAAUGCGACUCCCGUAUCACACCCACUCCUGUCAAGGCUCAGGGAACAUUGCGGAAGAGGGGGCGGAAAGACUGUAAGAGCCAGAGGUCAGGGAGACCUGGGUGAAAUUGUAUCUCCUGAACUUGGGAAGAAUCACUGUGCUCACAGCAGCUCUGGUUAUCUACAAAGGCCUGAACAGGAUGAAGCCAGUCAACAUUUCACCAUAGGCACACAGGAGCCAAUCUUAGCUGAGGUGCUACACACAGCUGAUGACUGCUGCAGGUGGGGAGGCCGGAGAUGGACUCCAGAAACAGAUCGGUUUACAUUAGGGGGCAUGGCCAAGGGUAAGAUGACCUCCUCCAGUUGGGAGGAGGACUUGAGUUGGGAUCAGUCCACCAGGAAUUGGAGGGGAAAGGAAUAAAUAUAAUCAGAAAACAGUGUAUGCAUGUAUUAAAUUUCUUCUAAAUAAACAUUUAAAUUAAAAA